rnacentral:rRNA from 2 species
UACAGAGGGUGCAAGCGUUGCUCGGAAUUAUUGGGCGUAAAGGGUAGGUAGGUGGUCUCAUUUGUCAGGGGUGAAAGCCUUGGGCUUAACCCAAGAAGUGCCUUUGAAACGGUGAGACUGGAGUCCUGGAGAGGGUCGUGGAAUUCCCGGUGUAGCGGUGAAAUGCGUAGAGAUCGGGAGGAACACCAGCGGCGAAGGCGGCGACCUGGACAGGUACUGACACUCAACUACGAAAGCGUGGGGAGCAAACAGG